UACGAAGGGGGCUAGCGUUGCUCGGAAUUACUGGGCGUAAAGCGUGCGCAGGCGGCUUCUCAAGUCAGGGGGUGAAAGCCCGGAGCUCAACUCCGGAACUGCCAUUGAAACUGUUAGACUUGAGGAUGAGAGAGGUGAGUGGAAUUCCCAGUGUAGAGGUGAAAUUCGUAGAUAUUGGGAAGAACACCGGUGGCGAAGGCGGCUCACUGGUCCGGUACUGACGCUGAGGUGCGAAAGCCAGGGGAGCAAACGGG
rnacentral:rRNA from 1 species